rnacentral:rRNA from 1 species
AGCGAACGCUGGCGGCAGGCCUAACACAUGCAAGUCGAACGAAGUCUUCGGACUUAGUGGCGGACGGGUGAGUAACACGUGGGAACGUGCCCUUUGGUACGGAAUAACUCAGGGAAACUUGAGCUAAUACCGUAUGUGCCCUUCGGGGGAAAGAUUUAUCGCCAUUGGAGCGGCCCGCGUCUGAUUAGCUAGUUGGUGAGGUAAAGGCUCACCAAGGCGACGAUCAGUAGCUGGUCUGAGGGGAUGAUCAGCCACAUUGGGACUGAGACACGGCCCAAACUCCUACGGGAGGCAGCAGUGGGGAAUCUUGCGCAAUGGGCGAAAGCUUGACGCAGCCAUGCCGCGUGAAUGAUGAAGGUCCUAGGAUUGUAAAAUUCUUUCACCGGGGACGAUAAUGACGGUACCCGGAGAAGAAGCCCCGGCUAACUUCGUGCCAGCCGCCGCAGUAAGAC